CCUACGGGUGGCUGCAGUGGGGAAUAUUGGACAAUGGGGGCAACCCUGAUCCAGCCAUGCCGCGUGUGUGAAGAAGGCCCUCGGGUUGUAAAGCACUUUCAGUGAGGAAGAACGCCUGGUGGUUAAUACCCAUCAGGAAAGACAUCACUCACAGAAGAAGCACCGGCUAACUCCGUGCCAGCAGCCGCGGUAAUACGGAGGGUGCGAGCGUUAAUCGGAAUUACUGGGCGUAAAGCGCGCGUAGGUGGCUUGAUAAGCCGGUUGUGAAAGCCCCGGGCUCAACCUGGGAACGGCAUCCGGAACUGUCAAGCUAGAGUGCAUGAGAGGAAGGUAGAAUUCCCGGUGUAGCGGUGAAAUGCGUAGAGAUCGGGAGGAAUACCAGUGGCGAAGGCGGCCUUCUGGACUGACACUGACACUGAGGUGCGAAAGCGUGGGUAGCAAACAGGAUUAGAUACCCCGGUAGUC
rnacentral:rRNA from 1 species